CCUUCGGUGGUCUAGGGGUUUAUGAUUCAUCGCGCGGUUUACCGAUCGCAUCGAUAAGGUCGGGGGUUCGAAUCCCUCCCAAAUGG